AGAGUUUGAUCCUGGCUCAGAACGAACGCUGGCGGCGUGGAUAAGACAUGCAAGUCGGACGCUUGUAUUUCUGUAGCAAUAUGAGGAUACGGGAGUGGCGAAAGGGUGCGUAACACGUGGGUAAUUUGUCUGAGAGUUCAGGAUAAUUCGCUGAAAGGCGGAGUAAUACUGGAUGUGGAUAUUGGUUGGGAACAGCUGAUAUCUAAAGCCGGGGACCGCAAGGCCUGGUGCUCUUAGGUAAGCCCGCGACCUAUCAGCUAGUUGGUGAGGUAAGAGCCCACCAAGGCGGAGACGGGUAGCUGGUCUGAGAGGACGACCAGCCACACUGGAACUGAGACGCGGUCCAGACACCUACGGGUGGCAGCAGUCGAGAAUUUUUCUCAAUGGGGGAAACCCUGAAGGAGCGACGCCGCGUGGGGGAUGAAGGGCUUCGGCUCGUAAACCCCUGUCAUUUGUGAGCAAGUGUUAUUGUUUAAGAGAUGAUGACAUUGAUAGUAGCAAAAGAGGAAGCCACGGCUAACUCUGUGCCAGCAGCCGCGGUAAUACAGAGGUGGCGAGCGUUGUUCGGAUUUACUGGGCGUAAAGGGCGCGUAGGCGGCGCAGUGUGUCAGGUGUGAAAUCCAUGGGCUCAACCCAUGAAGUGCGCCUGAAACUGCUGUGCUUGAGUGCGGGAGGGGAGACUGGAAUACAGGGUGUAGCGGUGAAAUGCGUUGAUAUCCUGUAGAACACCGGUGGCGAAGGCGGGUCUCUGGAACGCAACUGACGCUGAGGCGCGAAAGCGGGGGGAGCAAACAGGAUUAGAUACCCUGGUAGUCCCCGCCCUAAACGUUGCACACUUGAGGUAGGGGGAUUUCACCCCCUCUGUCUCGGAGCUAACGCGUUAAGUGUGCCGCCUGGGGAGUACGGCCGCAAGGCUAAAACUCAAAGAAAUUGACGGGGACCCGCACAAGCAGAGGAGCAUGUGGCUUAAUUCGAUGCAACGCGAAGAACCUUACCCGGGUUUGACAUGUAACUGCUACUCCCAUGAAAGUGGGAUUCCUUCGAGGGUGUUACACAGGUGCUGCAUGGCUGUCGUCAGUUCGUGCCGUGAGGUGUUUGGUUAAGUCCAGCAACGAACGCAACCCCUGUGUCCAGUUGCCAUCAGGUAGUGCUGGAACUCUGGACAGACUGCCCGUUUACGCGGGAGGAAGGUGGGGACGACGUCAAGUCAGUAUGGCCCUUACAUCCGGGGCUGCACACGUGCUACAAUGGCCGGUACAAUGGGAAGCUUGGCUGCGAGGCCUGGCCAACCCCCAAAACCGGCCCCAGUUCAGAUCGGGGUCUGCAACCCGACCCCGUGAAGUCGGAUUUGCUAGUAACGGCGCAUCAGCUACGGCGCCGUGAAUACGUUCCCGGGUCUUGUACUCACCGCCCGUCA
rnacentral:rRNA from 1 species